AUUAAUUCCAGGUUGAUGUAUGUUUUUAAAUGCUGGAUAAAUAAUUGUAAUACUAGUAUACAAUUAAGUUUUCUUGGUAUUUUGCUCACAUUUAAAACAUGAAUAUGUUUUUAUCCUGCAAUUGGGUGUCUUACUAUACAGAUACAGCCCUACAGAUAUCGCUAUGCUGUACAGAUAUCACUUUAAUGAUCCGCCCAUUGCCUGACUACGUUUUUUGAGUGUUGUAUGAACCUGCCUGACAUCAGAAUGUGUAUUCCAGUCGCAUUCCAAUGACGUAUUGUUUGACCUUAUGCGAACUUAACGAUUACUUUUACACGUUAUGUUUGUUUUCAAACAUUUCUUUAGAGCAUAAAGAAUAAAACCAAUUUUCUAAUAACAGACAAACAUGAACUGCAGUAUUUUCUACGAC
rnacentral:lncRNA from 1 species